UACGUAUGGGGCAAGCGUUAUCCGGAUUUACUGGGUGUAAAGGGAGCGCAGGCGGCCUGGCAAGCCUGAUGUGAAAUACCGGGGCCCAACCCCGGGGCUGCAUUGGGAACUGCCAGGCUGGAGUGCCGGAGAGGCAGGCGGAAUUCCUAGUGUAGCGGUGAAAUGCGUAGAUAUUAGGAGGAACACCAGUGGCGAAGGCGGCCUGCUGGACGGUGACUGACACUGAGGCUCGAAAGCGUGGGGAGCAAACAGG
rnacentral:rRNA from 1 species